AGAGUUUGAUCCUGGCUCAGGAUGAACGCUGGCGGCGCGCCUAAUACAUGCAAGUCGAACGGAGUGUGUUCUCGUAACGCACUCAGUGGCGAACGGGUGAGUAACGCGUAGGUGACCUACCCCGAAGAGGGGGAUAACAGCCCGAAAGGGCUGCUAAUACCCCAUGUGGUUCUGUGGGUUAGAGGCCGCAGAACUAAAGGCGUAAGCCGCUUCGGGAUGGGCCUGCGUCCCAUCAGCUAGUUGGUAGGGUAACGGCCUACCAAGGCGAUGACGGGUAGGGGGCCUGAGAGGGUGGCCCCCCACACUGGCACUGAAACACGGGCCAGACACCUACGGGUGGCAGCAGUAGGGAAUAUUGGGCAAUGGGCGAAAGCCUGACCCAGCGACGCCGCGUGCGCGAUGAAGGCCUUCGGGUUGUAAAGCGCUUUUGGAGGGGAUGAGGAAGGACAGUACCCUCCGAAUAAGCCUCGGCUAACUACGUGCCAGCAGCCGCGGUAAAACGUAGGAGGCGAGCGUUAUCCGGAUUUACUGGGCGUAAAGCGCGUGUAGGCGGUCCGGCAAGUUGGAUGUGAAAUCUCUCGGCUCAACCGGGAGAGGUCGUUCAAUACUGCUGGGCUAGAGAGCGGUAGAGGGGGGUGGAAUUCCGGGUGUAGCGGUGAAAUGCGUAGAUAUCCGGAGGAACACCAGUGGCGAAGGCGGCCCCCUGGACCGUCUCUGACGCUCAGACGCGAAAGCUAGGGGAGCAAACGGGAUUAGAGACCCCGGUAGUCCUAGCCGUAAACGAUGUGGACUUGGCGUUGGUGGGUUAAAAUCCAUCAGUGCCGAAGCUAACGCGAUAAGUCCACCGCCUGAGGACUACGGCCGCAAGGCUAAAACUCAAAGGAAUUGACGG
rnacentral:rRNA from 1 species